rnacentral:rRNA from 1 species
UACGGGGGGGGCAAGCGUUGUUCGGAAUUACUGGGCGUAAAGGGCGCGUAGGCGGCUUGGCAAGUGGAUGGUGAAAUCCCUCGGCUUAACCGAGGAACUGCCGUCCAAACUGCUUUGCUUGAGACCGGGAGAGGUGAGUGGAAUUCCCAGUGUAGCGGUGAAAUGCGUAGAUAUCGUUUGGAACGCCAAUGGUGAAAACAGGUCGCUGGGGAUGAGCUGACGCUGAGACACGAAAGCCAGGGGAGCAAACGGG